rnacentral:rRNA from 1 species
AUUGAACGCUGGCGGCAGGCCUAACACAUGCAAGUCGAGCGGAUGAAGGGAGCUUGCUCCUGGAUUCAGCGGCGGACGGGUGAGUAAUGCCUAGGAAUCUGCCUGGUAGCGGGGGAUAACGUCCGGAAACGGGCGCUAAUACCGCAUACGUCCUGAGGGAGAAAGUGGGGGAUCUUCGGACCUCACGCUAUCAGAUGAGCCUAGGUCGGAUUAGCUAGUUGGUGGGGUAAAGGCCUACCAAGGCGACGAUCCGUAACUGGUCUGAGAGGAUGAUCAGUCACACUGGAACUGAGACACGGUCCAGACUCCUACGGGAGGCAGCAGUGGGGAAUAUUGGACAAUGGGCGAAAGCCUGAUCCAGCCAUGCCGCGUGUGUGAAGAAGGUCUUCGGAUUGUAAAGCACUUUAGGUUGGGAGGAAGGGCAGUAAGUUAAUACCUUGCUGUUUUGACGUUACCAACAGAAUAAGCACCGGCUAACUUCGUG